GAUGUUCAGUCAUCAGAACGGAUGGAUGCGAGGAGAAAGCUGGAAUGAUGCAAACACACACGCACAGGAGAGUGUCCUAAGGGAUGGCAUGCACUAUGCCAGAUCUUCCAGGUUUCUGGAUGAUUCAGCUUGGAAGCAGUUCAUGAAGAAGACCAGGGUGGACUGGAACAGGCAGAUCACCAUGAAUAGCUGCAGGGACCUUUUAAAAUGGCCGCCACAUCCGCAAUGACCAUCCAGAAUGACGGCCGACGGACUUCUUCCAGCCAGUAAACCCCAGCAUAUGGCGCAUAAAUCAAGUCAGCCUGAAGUCCAUGAGCAGAGCACUCCAAGCAACAGGACAACCAUGAUCGUCUUGACCCUGCUUGUGUAUUGGCUGUACUAAUGUGCUGCUGAAGCGCUGCGUCCUUAACGUCUGCGCGCUGAGAGAGCUUGAAACCAAAGUCAAGAUCCUUGUUUGUGCACACAGUCUUGGCCGAUAAAGCUGAUUCCGAUUGUGAUGAAUUAUUCAGUCUUAAUCGCCAUUUCGAAAUGCAACAAACCUCAUUAAAAAGGUCUUGAAUGAUGCAGGCAGUGAGCGAGAAUGGGGCAGUGAUUCAAU